UGGAAAGAAGGGGAGUUCAACCCCUGUUCGCAGGUCUACAGCCUACCACUUGAACACUCAGCCAUCUUACC
rnacentral:tRNA from 1 species